CAAAAAUGUGGCACGUUUGGAAUCUUCUCCCCGGGAGGCGACAGCCCCUGCGGCCGGCGGCCGGCGGCCGGAAGGAGCCCGGACUCCUACGGGACGGCGUAGACGGCGUAGUGAGGCGCGGCGCCCGAGCGACCCCCGAUGCAUCCGGUUCCACCGCGCGGGGAGGGCGCCCCCGACCGACGACCACGUACGCAUGGCGGCAUGGGCGUCUCACGCCCUGCGAGGGGUCGGUCCACUCGUGCGCGUGUCCGGUCAAGCAGCGCCGUGGGGUGCGUGCUACUGCAGCCACGCGAACUGCUUCUUACCUCACGAGGCGGACGAGGAACCUGGUUCUGAUGGCGCUGAACGGCCAUAACCAGCUAGCGGUGCAGCAGCAACCCCUCUUUGAUUCAGCAAGCACCUGAAGCGUGCCAAUCUCGCAGUGACCGAUCUUGUGUCCUUCGCAACCUUCUCAAUGGGUGUCCACAACCGCUCUUCAAAUUGAUAAGUGAAUUGGCAUCAGACUCGUUCAUACCAUGCUGAAUCAACCUGCAAGCCAAGAAAAAGACUUCAGAUUAGAUGACUGAUACAAGUGGCAAUUUGUAGCGAUGAUAACAAACAGAAGUGUAUAACCUGAAAGAAUUCCAUCAAUCACUUGGAAUGUAAAGUCGCUGCUGACAUCAAGUGGUUCUUUACAUGUAGCUGAUGGCCACAAUGAUGGAUAUCCGACACCCCUGAAACAAGAGAAGUGCACUGAAUUUUAACACAUGUUAGUUGCAGGCACAGACAACUUGUACGAUUCAUCCACCUCGAAGUUGAGCUGCAGAAGACCAAACAGUCAGACGCAGAGCACAAAAAGGAACAGAAGUCCUUCUGCUUAAGUGCCCACCAGACGUACCUCAUCGUUCGUCCAACGAACAACGACGUUCACGCCGGUGAGCACGGGUGCACCCUGGUAGCUCCCAUUGAUGACAUGGUCCAGCUCCACAACCGCCACCAUCCUCUGGAAUGCGUCCUUCAAGAUACUCUUACCGUCGGAGUAGUUGCUCCCCACCGUCGACAGCUUGAGGUCCUUGCUGACGAAGAGCGUCUGCGCGCCGCGGCUCACAGACGCCGGCAUUGGCCACAUUUCGAUGCGCCCGGCUCCGUCUCCGGCGCCGGCGCAUGGCCCGACGACCACCAUGAGCAGCACCAGCAUCGGCAGCAACUCCAGUGGUGCCGGCGCCAUCUCCGCAGAACCGGCCAGUACACUACAGUGUCCCUUCCCUGCAGAAACUCACUCGUCAGCUAUAUAUCUCAGGCAAGGAAUGUGUGGAGAUAAGGAGGGGGAUGAUUGCGAGUGACAAGUAUCGCACACCUACUGACCAGCGACCACUGGUAGCCAGACGCAGGCUGUCUGCGCAAACUGUUGCUGCUAAAACCGGACCGCCGGCCACGUCGGAGGAAAGGCGGCCUUUUGCGCUGUCCGGGCGGUGGAGUGGAGGGCUAGUGUAUUGCACCAACCAACGAGGAUCGGCCCGGAGCGAUUAGUCUGGGUAUCAGGAGGUUAAUGGUGUGAGUACAUAGAUUAAGUGUGGUUGCAACCUGCAUUGACCAUACCAGGGGCCUAAAACGGAUAAACUGCUCCUGGUGCGAUCUGGAUGUUGGGAACUGUACAUCCGUAAGUUUGUACUCCUUCAGAUUCAUUGCUAUCCCCGUCGAGUUCAAGGUGAGAUCUCGCACAAUCCCAAAAUAAUCCAUUCUCGCCCACAGCUUUGGAUGAGCGAAGCCGUCGAAGCACGACGCGUUGAUUGGGUGCUUGUGUUGGAAAAUUGGGCAUGAAUUUAGCUCCUAAUGUUUGUUCGAGACAGAUUUGAGAUUACAAAGAAUAUAAACGACGCAAUAUUCAUAUUAUGAACCAA